AGAGUUUGAUCAUGGCUCAGAGUGAACGCUGGCGGCGUGCCUAACACAUGCAAGUCGUGCGCGGGUAGCAAUACCUGAGCGGCGAACGGGUGAGUAACACGUGGUUAACCUGCCCUGAUGUGGGGGAUACCCCGGGGAAACUCGGGACAAGACCGCAUAGGCUUCUUUCGGGAAGCAAAGCCCUGCAAAGGGCGCCAGAGGACGGGCCUGUGGCCGAUUAGCUAGUUGGGGAGGUAAAAGCCCCCCAAGGCGACGAUCGGUAGCUGGUCUGAGAGGAUGAUCAGCCACACUGGGAUUGAGAACGGCCCAGACUCCUACGGGAGGCAGCAGUGAGGAAUUUUCGGCAAUGGGCGCAAGCCUGACCGAGCAACGCCGCGUGCAGGAGGAAGGUCUUCGGAUCGUAAACUGCUUUUCUCGGGGACGAGUUACGGACGGUACCCGAGGAAGAAGCCCCGGCUGACUACGUGCCAGCAGCCGCGGUAAUACGUAGGGGGCGAGCGUUGUCCGGAGUUACUGGGCGUAAAGCGCCCGCAGGCGGUCGGUCGCGUUUGAGGUAACAGCUCCUGGCUUACCUGGGAGAGCGUCUCAAAGACGGGCUGACUUGAGGACCAGAGAGGGACACGGAAUUCCGGGUGGAGUGGUGAAAUGCGUAGAUAUCCGGAGGAACACCGAAGGCGCAGGCAGUGUCCUGGCUGGUACCUGACGCUCAGGGGCGAAAGCUAGGGGAGCGAACGGGAUUAGAUACCCCGGUAGUCCUAGCCGUAAACGAUGACCACUAGGUGUGCGGGGUAUCGACCCCCUGCGUGCCGCAGCUAACGCAAUAAGUGGUCCGCCUGGGGAGUACGGUCGCAAGAUUAAAACUCAAAGGAAUUGACGGGGACCCGCACAAGCAGCGGAGCGUGUGGUUUAAUUCGACGCGACGCGCAGAACCUUACCAGGGUUUGACAUGCCGGUGCACCGGCCCGAGAAGGUCGUGCCCGCAAGGGACGCCGGCACAGGUGCUGCAUGGCUGUCGUCAGCUCGUGCCGUGAGGUGUUGGGUUAAGUCCCGCAACGAGCGCAACCCCCAUCGUCGGUUGCAACUGUCCGACGAGACUGCCUCGAUCAACGGGGAGGAAGGUGGGGAUGACGUCAAGUCAGCACGGCCCUUACAUCCUGGGCGACACACACGCUACAAUGGUCGCGACAACGGGGAGCCAACCCGCGAGGGGGAGCCAAUCCCAGCAAAGGCGGCCUCAGUUCGGAUUGCAGGCUGCAACCCGCCUGCAUGAAGUCGGAGUUGCUAGUAACCGUGGGUCAGCACACCACGGUGAAUACGUUCCCGGGUCUUGUACACACCGCCCGUCACACCACGAAAGUCGGCAACCCCUGAAGCCGCUGGGCUAACGGAGCGAUCCGAGGCAGGCGUCGAGGGUGGGGUCGGUGAUUGGGGUGAAGUCGUAACAAGGUAACCGUA
rnacentral:rRNA from 1 species